AUACGGAGGAUCCGAGCGUUAUCCGGAUUUAUUGGGUUUAAAGGGUGCGCAGGCGGCCAUUUAAGUCAGCGGUUAAAUCGUGGGGCUCAACCCCAUUCUGCCGUUGAUACUGGGUGGCUUGAUUGCGGUCGAGGUUGGCGGAAUUCGUUGUGUAGCGGUGAAAUGCAUAGAUAUGACGAAGAACACCGAUUGCGUAGGCAGCUGACCAGACCGCAAAUGACGCUCAUGCACGAAAGUGCUGGGAUCGAACAGGAUUAGAUACCCUGGUAGUCCGCACAGUAAACGAUGAAUACUUGUUUUCGGCGAUAUAAUGUCGGAGGCAAAGCGAAAGCGAUAAGUAUUCCACCUGGGGAGUACGCCGGCACCGGUGAAACUCAAAUGAAUUGACGGGG
rnacentral:rRNA from 1 species